GACGAACGCUGGCGGCGUGCUUAACACAUGCAAGUCGAACGGAAAGGCCCUGCUUUUGUGGGGUGCUCGAGUGGCGAACGGGUGAGUAACACGUGAGUAACCUGCCCUUGCCUUUGGGAUAACUUCAGGAAACUGGGGCUAAUACCGGAUAGGAGCUCCUGCUGCAUGGUGGGGGUUGGAAAGUUUCGGCGGUUGGCGAUGGACUCGCGGCUUAUCAGCUUGUUGGUGGGGUAGUGGCUUACCAAGGCUUUGACGGGUAGCCGGCCUGGGAGGGUGACCGGCCACAUUGGGACUGCGCUGAGGCCCAGACUCCUCCGGGAGGCAGGAGUGGGGAAUAUUGCACAAUGGGCGGGAGCCUGAUGUAGCAACGCCGCGUGCGGGAUGACGGCCUUCGGGUUGUAAACCGCUUUCGCCUGUGACGAAGCGUGAGUGACGGUAAUGGGUAAAGAAGCACCGGCUAACUACGUG
rnacentral:rRNA from 1 species